UGAGGAAUAUUGGUCAAUGGGAGGAAUCCUGAACCAGCCAUGCCGCGUGCAGGACGACGGCUCUACGAGUUGUAAACUGCUUUUGUACCGGGGUAAAAUGCUCUACGUGUAGGGUUUUGAAAGUACGGUACGAAUAAGGAUCGGCUAACUCCGUGCCAGCAGCCGCGGUAAUACGGAGGAUCCGAGCGUUAUCCGGAUUCAUUGGGUUUAAAGGGUGCGUAGGUUGUUUUAUAAGUUAGCGGUGAAAUACCGAUGCUCAACAUCGGGGCUGCCGCUAAUACUGUAGGACUAGAGAUCGGAUGCAGCAGGCGGAAUGUGUAGUGUAGCGGUGAAAUGCAUAGAUAUUACACAGAACACCGAUUGCGAAGGCAGCUUGCUAGGCCGGAUCUGACACUGAUGCACGAAAGCGUGGGGAUCGAACAGG
rnacentral:rRNA from 1 species